CUACCAUGACUUUGAUCCCCGUCUUCAUCUGGACACUGAUCCUCUGGACUCAAGAAUGCAGAGGUCAAGCAACAGUAACUCAGACUCCUGCAGUGAAAUCUGUUCUUCCAGGAGAAACAGUCAACAUUAACUGUAAAAUCAGUCAGGCAGUCUCUUCUCACAGCUCAUAUGGUGAUCGUCUACUCUGGUUUCAGCAGAAACAUGGAGAAGCUCCUAAACUGCUCAUUAAAUACGUAAAGGAGCUAUUGUCAGGUGUUCCAGCUCGUUUCAGUGGCAGUGGAUCUGGAACUGAUUUCACUCUGACCAUCAGUGGAGUCCAGACUGAAGAUGCAGGAGAUUAUUACUGUCUGAGUCACCAUGAAAUCACUGGUUACUGGCUCACACAGUGAUAUAGAGUCAUACAAAAACCUCCCUCAGUCAGAUAGUAGAGAAACUGCACUGCUGCAGCUGGGAGCGACUGCAGGUGCUGAGUUGGAGGAUGUGAUACGACACAAUGACACACUGUGGAGGAGAAG